rnacentral:misc_RNA from 1 species
GCCAGCGGACGGGGAGGACACGUAGUCAAGGCGGCAUGCAGCCGUCUACCUUGAGCUCCUUGCAUGGAGUCUCUUCUUCAGCGCUCAUAAGCACAUCAGCAGCUCUGCAUGACCCGACGGGUGCCACUGACGAGGAGAUAGUAGAGUGCGUGCUGCUGAUAUGGCGCGAUGUGUCAGCAGCGGCUGCACGCCGUCACGCUCCUUCUCACCCUGCCGUGAUGCAUCCAGCUGCCUUGCGCAUCUUUGGCCAUGAUUCCCUGCAGAGUGCAGCGAUGUUGAGGCGUCGCUAUCGGCAGCUUGCUAUUCGCGUGCACCCGGACAAGAACACGAGCUCGCGGGCGUCCGAGGCGUUUCAACUACUGCAGAGCUGCUUCGAGUACCUCGUCAGCAGCCGCGAAGCCAGGGGGAUCGGUGGCGUUGACGUUGGAGGGCAGACGGCGUUCCAGCGCACAGCGGAUCCGUCAAGGCCGGAGAAGGGGGAUGCGUUCAGGAGAGGUGACACAGCCAACAGCGAAGAUGCCAAGUCGUAUGUUUCCUCCUCGUCAUCGUCCUCCUCCACGUCUUCCGCUUCGCCAUCCCCGCUAUCACCGCCCUUGUCGCCUGUCUUCAG